rnacentral:rRNA from 1 species
GAUGAACGCUGGCGGCGUGCCUAAUACAUGCAAGUCGAGCGAACAUACGAGGAGCUUGCUCCUCUGACGUUAGCGGCGGAUGGGUGAGUAACACGUGGAUAACCUACCUAUAAGACUGGGAUAACUUCGGGAAACCGGAGCUAAUACCGGAUAAUAUAUUGAACCGCAUGGUUCAAUAGUUAAAGACGGUUUUGCUGUCACUUAUAGAUGGAUCCGCGCCGCAUUAGCUAGUUGGUAAGGUAACGGCUUACCAAGGCGACGAUGCGUAGCCGACCUGAGAGGGUGAUCGGCCACACUGGAACUGAGACACGGUCCAGACUCCUACGGGAGGCAGCAGUAGGGAAUCUUCCGCAAUGGGCGAAAGCCUGACGGAGCAACGCCGCGUGAGUGAUGAAGGUCUUCGGAUCGUAAAACUCUGUUAUUAGGGAAGAACAAAUGUGUAAGUAACUAUGCACGUCUUGACGGUACCUAAUCAGAAAGCCACGGCUAACUACGUG